UCUGGCGGCACUGCCGCUCGCGCUCACCAUCGAUCGCAUCACCAAUGGACUGACCCGGCCAUUCUUCGGUUGGGUAUCGGAUCGCAUCGGACGUGAGAAUACGAUGGGCCUCGCGUUUAUCUUCGAAGGCAUCGCCAUCGCAUUGAUGGUCGCCUUCCGCGACAACGCGCUUGCGUUCGUGCUGCUGUCGGGCGUCGUGUUCUUCGGCUGGGGC
rnacentral:misc_RNA from 1 species